UCCUUGCAGGGGCAGCCCCCCUCUCCUGGGGCGGGCAUCAGUGUGCACAGAGUGAAGACAGAUGCCCUGUUCCUGCUAGGUGACCUUGAGCAGAUGGGUUCCUGGCCUCCCACUCCCCUGCCCCUGCAAAGGACUCCAUUGCCUCUGCCUGUCCUGAGCACCUGGCCUCGGCUGCUGGCAGCGCCCUGGACAGAGCCCUGACAGUCCUCAUCUUCCUGCCGUGGGGCAGGGCCCAGAGCACCUGCGAAGGGCUACACUCACCCUACCCACAUGGCUGAACCCAAGAGAGUGCAACAAUAAACAGCCAGUGAAGAACCACCACGCCACGUCAAGAUGGAGGUCUCGGGCCUCAGGAGAAAUCCCCUUUCCUUCUCUCCAAACAAGCAUUUUCACCAUGCACAGUGCCGUGCAGUUUACUGGGGCCUUCACAAAGUUCAUGGAUGACUUUUUGGAGUACAUGAGUGUGUCGUUCCUGAGCAGAAGACUAUCAUGGUGUUUAUGGGAAGAAGGAAGGUUUUCUGGCAACAGCCCUGCGACGAGUCUUAUUGGAAAUGGACCCUGCAGCCCCAGUCCAGCCCUCAGCACCGCAGCUGCAGCCAAUACACUGCUACCUCAUGAGAGACCCUGAGCAGGAACCACCUAAGCAAGCCACUCUCACGCUCCUGAAUCAUGAACAAUGCCUACUGUUUUAAUCCCUCAUUUUAGAGUAAUUUAUUGUGUAGCAAUAGAUAUUAAAUAGAGUAGUUCCUGGGGCCCACGUUGUGGAUUCCUGAUCCAGUUGGGAAGGCAGCAGAAGAUGGCCCAAGUGCGUGGGAUCAGAAGUUGAGCAGUCAGCACACAAACCUGUCCUCAUGUGACGCCACCGUUGCGUUGCCAGCAUCAUAGGCAGUGGUGCUGCACCACAACCCCAGCCCAUGGGGCUACUAGUAAGUAAAACAAGGAACACAAGCACUGUGUGCUCUAUUGGUCAUCCUGAUAACCAAGACAGCUACUAAGCGACUACCUUGUGGGUAAUGAAUACACUGUGGAUACAUUGAACAUAGGGGAAACUCAGAAUGGAGCAGGACAACAUGGGCAUGGAAUCUGCUUAGGAUGACAUGCAAUUAAAGCUUAGGAAUUAAAUAUUCUGGAACUUUCCAUUUAACAUUUUUUUUUUUUUUGGAUCACAGUUCAUCUCAAGCAACUGAAACUGUAGAAAGUGAACCCAAAGAUAAGCUAGAUGAGCUGUGUAGCAGCAGAAGUGGGAAGGGAGGGAAAGGAGUGUUAAUCAGGCUUGCCUGGCACCUAACCCUAUGCCAAGUUCUUUUGCAGAAAUCAUUUAUAUAAUUUAAGUCCUUACAACCUCGCCAUGAGAGCCUGGGCAAAUCUCCUUUCAUACCCAGAGGAGAGGGCCAGAGCCUAAGUGGUUUCCCAGGCCCUGUACUUGGACAGGGGCUGUUGAGUUUCAGACUCAAUCUGUCCACCUCCAGCAUCUGGGCCUGGAUAAAAGACCCUUUCUGGGACCAUGGCAGGCAGAUACGUUUUCCCAAACCUCUGUGUUCAUUGGUCCCUCCCUCCCUCGGUGUCUCCCUCCUUUCUAUUCCUUACAGUUGAAGUUGAGGGAAAAGGCACCAAUGCUCUCUGCAACAUGUUGGCCUAAAAGGCAUGUUGAAGUAUGGCAGCGUGAGUGAGGCAGGUCUUUUCUUUAAUAGCCCCCUCCCCCACCCCAGCACCUGGCAUAGGUGGCAGCCACAGGGCUCUGGUGAUUGAUAGGAGUGUUUUUCCAAUUCAGCUGUCAAAGCCAGGGCAAUCAUCCUGCCUCCUGCUUGGAAAGUGAUUUACAAUUUUCCUCUUUGGUGGCAUCCCAAGGCAAACAGACACUUUUGUUUCCAUGGAGAACACACUCUUCCCUCUAAGGUCGCUUGGGUGCCCUUCCUCCCUGCCAUCUCUCCUUCUUCCUCCCUGCUUUCCUUGUUUGACAGCUCUCUCUCUCUCUCUCUCUCUCUCUCUCUGUCUCUCUCUCCUUUAUUUCCCCCCAGUUUCUCUUGAGUUCUCCUCCUUCCACUACCAGCGGGAGCACAGUGGUUGCCUCUGCCCUUGCCCAUCUGUGUCCCAAGGCCAAGCUUCCACUUCUCCUGCUCUGCUGGAGGGCUUCUCAGACUCCUCUGAGCACUGAGAAAUAUCCUCCUCGGCCUUUGGGCUGUUUUGUUCCUUGGAACUUGUUUCUCAAAGAGCUCAGAGCAGGGGGUGAGAGCCUGCUCGGUUGCUUCAACCUGGGUCCUAAGGCCACGCAUCUGUGCAACCUCAGGCAUCCUGUUUCACCUCUCACUUUCUUCACCUGCAAAAUGACAACAACCUUCCCAGGAGUGGCCCGAGAUAGUUCAGGGGAGUGUACAAAUAGAUGGCUUCCUGUGAGUCUACAGCAUGUCUCUGCCUUCUAGCCCUGAAGUUUACGGAGCAGCUCCUAAAAGCCCCCAAAAGGCAUAAGGGGAUCCCCUGUUGUUGAGGCCAGUGCUAGCAGGCCCUGUGUAGGCUGGGCCGGGUGGAGAGGGUGGGGCCCCUCUGGGGCCACUUUGUACCAAAGUUGUAGGGCUUCAGAAGUGCCAGUGACCUAGUGCCAGCAGCGUCUGGGUGCUUGGAACAGAUAGGAAGUUGCAGCUCCUUUAAGAAACCGCAUUUGCUCCCUGUGAGUGCGUGUGUGCUAUUGCCCAUGGGUGGGUGAGCCGGCAGUGUUGUGUCAGGUCACAGGCUCCCGCUGCAGAACAGGGAUCUCUGACACCGGGUCAGAACAUUAAGGUGUUCAGCUCUGUGCGGAUGAGGCUGGGCAGCUCAGUACCCCUAAACACAGCCCCCUGUCCUCACAUGGCCAGCCUGGGGUGAGGCCUCUGCCCUGGAGUAGAUCUGUAUCCUUGUGGCCUUUGUCUGCUCUAAGUCAGGAUUGGGGGUCAGGCACCCAAGUUCAGGCUUUCCUGUAUUUCGAGAGUUUUGGUCCUACUUCCAGGUGUGUUCUGCACAGGUAAACACACGGACAUGCACCACACAGGAAGGGGGGGAUGCUGGAGGAGGCCUUGGAAGAACAGCUAGGGAGUGGGACGGAGUCCUUUUCUCUCUCCUGGCAGAAGUCCUCUAGUUCCUCAUGCAGUGGGACUGGGCUGUGGGUUGCUCUCAGAGCACUGUACAAGAAAGACACAGUGGAAUGACAAGCAGUGCAGCUCAAGCAAGGAAGAGAAGCUGAGCCUCCUCCUUCCUCCUUUAUUUGCCCGUUUAGUUCCUCGUAGGGAGAAGGCAGGAACAUGGAGAAGGCGAUGAACAGUGGCAGAUCACUGCCUGUACUUCAACUGGCUUCAAAUCUUAUCUCCCAUAGUCCUCACCAACAGCUCUUUAGUAGGCUGGUUACCGAGACUCAGGUUAACAAAUUUGCCCAAGCAGGGAGCAAGAUUUUGAACUGCAACUGUAUAGUUCAAUUCCUAACUCUGUGCUCUUUCCAGCAAACCCCAUUGCCUACAUGAGUCUUCUACAGAGAAUAUAGCAUUGUGGCCAAUGGGCUUCUUGUCAAGGAUCAUAAACUUGGAAUUCAAUCUAAAGUCACUAUUAUUCCAGGAAAAAAAAAAAGAAAAAGAAAAACCCUGAUGCCUGGCUCUUUUGAAAAAAAAAAAAAAUUGCAUGCCUUCCUAAGAUGGGCUAUUAAUAUACAUUGUCAUUGACAUCAGUCUUGCAGGCUGGUUCUUUGGGAGAGCCAGGAUGUUGCUGAUUUGCAUACUGCUUUGCAUUCAUUUGCAUUCUCUCUCCAUAUGCAAAAUCAAACACAGUUAAUUAGUGCAACCUUGUUACAAUGAGAAGCAGGCCCAGCCUUCUGUGCCAGGGCAGAUGGAGCCCAGAACAGGGACUGAAACAACCCAAAGCCAGUCACGUCCUGGGUUGGACACGCCGGGAGGCUGGAGAGAGACACACACAGCCUGAAUGGAAAGCAGCAUAACGAAGUCUCGCUAUUUUUCGAAGAUUGUCCCUUUGAA